rnacentral:rRNA from 1 species
UACACGAGUGGCGCACGGGUGCGUAACGCGUAUGCAACCUACCUGUAACAGGGGGAUAGCCCCGAGAAAUCGGGAUUAAUACCCCAUACAAUCAAGAGAUGGCAUCAACUUUUGAUAAAAGCUUAGGUGGUUACAGAUGGGCAUGCGUGACAUUAGCUGGUUGGUGAGGUAAAGGCUCACCAAGGCGACGAUGUCUAGGGGGUCUGAGAGGAUGAUCCCCCACACUGGUACUGAGACACGGACCAGACUCCUACGGGAGGCAGCAGUGAGGAAUAUUGCGCAAUGGACGAAAGUCUGACGCAGCCAUGCCGCGUGAAGGAAGACGGCCCUAUGGGUUGUAAACUUCUUUUCUGGAGGAAG